UCCCUGGUGGUCCAGUGGCUAAGACUCUGUGCUUCCAAUGCAGGGAGUCUGGGUUCGAUCCCUGGUCAGGGAU
rfam:TPA: Bos taurus chromosome 19, whole genome shotgun sequence.